UGCAGUCGAACGAUGAAGGGGAGCUUGCUUCCUGGAUUAGUGGCGAACGGGUGAGUAACACGUGAGUAACCUGCCCUUGACUCUGGGAUAAGCGUUGGAAACGACGUCUAAUACCGGAUAUGACCUGUGACGGCAUCGUCUGCAGGUGGAAAGAAUUUUGGUCAAGGAUGGACUCGCGGCCUAUCAGGUAGUUGGUGAGGUAACGGCUCACCAAGCCGACGACGGGUAGCCGGCCUGAGAGGGUGACCGGCCACACUGGGACUGAGACACGGCCCAGACUCCUACGGGAGGCAGCAGUGGGGAAUAUUGCACAAUGGGCGAAAGCCUGAUGCAGCAACGCCGCGUGAGGGACGACGGCCUUCGGGUUGUAAACCUCUUUUAGUUGGGAAGAAGGGAGCUUGCUCUUGACGGUACCAGCAGAAAAAGCACCGGCUAACUACGUGCCAGCAGCCGCGGUAAUACGUAGGGUGCAAGCGUUGUCCGGAAUUAUUGGGCGUAAAGAGCUCGUAGGCGGUUUGUCGCGUCUGCUGUGAAAUCUGGGGGCUCAACCCCCAGCCUGCAGUGGGUACGGGCAGACUAGAGUGCGGUAGGGGAGAUUGGAAUUCCUGGUGUAGCGGUGGAAUGCGCAGAUAUCAGGAGGAACACCGAUGGCGAAGGCAGAUCUCUGGGCCGUUACUGACGCUGAGGAGCGAAAGCAUGGGGAGCGAACAGGAUUAGAUACCCUGGUAGUCCAUGCCGUAAACGUUGGGAACUAGAUGUAGGGGCCAUUCCACGGUUUCUGUGUCGCAGCUAACGCAUUAAGUUCCCCGCCUGGGGAGUACGGCCGCAAGGCUAAAACUCAAAGGAAUUGACGGGGGCCCGCACAAGCGGCGGAGCAUGCGGAUUAAUUCGAUGCAACGCGAAGAACCUUACCAAGGCUUGACAUAUACCGGAAACGUCCAGAGAUGGUCGCCCCGCAAGGUCGGUAUACAGGUGGUGCAUGGUUGUCGUCAGCUCGUGUCGUGAGAUGUUGGGUUAAGUCCCGCA
rnacentral:rRNA from 1 species